UGGAUAGCUAAAGGGCCGAAGAAGAAGAAAUAACAUCAUUUUGUCAAUGGGACGACCGCAUCAGCACCAAUGGGAGCAGAAAUAAAAUGGUCCACAGAAUACCUCCCAAGGAAAUUGCUCACUACCUCAUCGAGGACGAAGGACAACACCGGAGAAGCUUAAAGUAAAGGACAGGACCAGGACAGAACGGAAAGGAAAGGUCCUGUACUGGAACCAAAGGAGCUAUACCACCAAGGCUUAACCCAAUCCACCAGGAAACAGGUUCAUCCUUCACUCUCCUUGAACAUCUGUCCGUAGACAGGAAUCGUGGUGUCCCCUUGCGCUCCAAAAACGGGAUUAGGCUUUGAAAAGUUUAGGAAUUGCGUAAAAAAAGAAAAAGGAGAAAAAAAACAAGUAAAAGCGCGCUAAGUUCGGCCGGGCCGAAUCUUAUAUACCCUCCACCAUGGAUCGCAUUUGUCGAUUUCUUUUCCCGGCAUCUCUUCUUAGGCAAAAAAGGAUAUAAGAAAAGAGUUGCUCUGCUAUUAAAACGAUAUCAAGAUAUGGUCCGGUUCGGACCAAAAUUAAAUUAUAUGUUGGAGACCUGUGUAAAAUUUCAAGUUAAAUAGAGAGAACGAUUUAUAUGGGAUCCGUAUCGGGCUAUAGACCGAUUCAGACCAUAAUAAACACGUUUGUUGAUGGUCAUGAGAGGAUCCAUCGUACCAAAUUUCAGGCAUAUCGGAUAAUAAUUGCGACCUCUAGGGGUCUAGAAGCUCAAGAAGUCAAAUCCCCAGAUCUGUUUAUAUGACAGCUAUAUCAGGUUAUGGUCCGAUUUGAACCAUACUUGGCACAGUUAUUGGACAUCCUAACAAAACACGUCGUGAAAAUUUCAUUCUGAUCGGAUAAGAAUUGCGCACUCUAGAGGCUCAAGAAGUCAAGACCCAAGAUCGGUUUAUAUGGCAGCUAUAUCAAAACAUGGACCGAUAUGGCCCAUUUACAAUACCAACCGACCUACACUAAUAAGAAGUAUUUGUGCAAAAUUUCAAGCGGCUAGCUUUACUCCUUCGGAAGUUAGCGUGCUUUCGACAGACAGACGGACGGACGGACGGACGGCUAGAUCGACAUAAAAUGUUACGACGAUCAAGAAUAUAUAUACUUUAUAGGGUCUCAGACGAAUAUUUCGAGUAGUUACAAACAGAAUGACGAAAUUAGUAUACCCCCCAUCUUAUGGUGGAGGGUAUAAAAAUAAUAAAGCCCACAGGUAAGAAGAUGCGAUCAGGCAAUUAUGAAAAAAAAAAUAAUAAAAUUCGAUGCUGAGAAGUCUUGGUUGAGAAUUAAGAGCCUGUGUCGGCAUUGGUGGCUGACACCCUCCCCAUACCGCUUACCAAUCCCAGAGCAUACGUGGUGCUCCUGACCACCCAUCUGGAGAUGUGUACCAGAGUCAUCGUCACCGGAUACCGCGUUUCCGGCUUAUUUACCGCAGUGAAUUCGCCUUGUGUCUCCCUCACACUGUGAUUCCAUCAGCUAUAACUGUCGCCUGGCAGCUCAUAUUCCUCAUUCGUCCUCCCCCCUUACUACGAUGUGCAUCCUAAUGUCAUAGUUUCGCUGGGGCACAGGCGGGGUAGGCUCCGGAGGUCUAUGACACGUCACAAGUUGGCCGCCCACCGACGUCAGCACACGAUGGAAUCACAACCUGAGGAGGCUUCUGCGGUACUCCGGUCACGAAAACUCCGGCGCCCAUCUCCAAGAAUUGGUGUAGAGGGCUCACCACCGACCCUUUGGCCAGCAAGCAAAGUGGGGAAAGUCACAGCCGCCAAUGCAGCGAACGCGUGAGCUAAAAUAAAGAACCUCGUGUAGAGAAAAUGCCAUAUUCCGCGGUUUGAAACCCUGCGCCUUGCACAUGCGCAUAGGAAAAUCAUCAGAAGAAAUAAGAAGACAAAAACUGACAGAAAAAGUGAAGUCGUGACUCAAAAACAAAUUCAUCAGUGAAGUACGCUCUCUUCCAAGCCAAAGAAAAAAAAGGUAUCAAAAUUCGGGGUUCAGGAAAAAGACGAAAAAGGAAACAUGUUGCCAAGAGCGCUACGCCACUCUGGCUUCGGGACACUAUGCUAUCCCAUCCUAAGAUAAUAGUAUACCAAAAAGAAAUUCUCUACAACGACCUUAUAUCAAAAGCCUAGCCUAUAAAAAGCAAUCCGUACGCCAUUCAAGGCAAUUCAAACGGAUAAUAAAAACAAAAAUAAUAGCAAUAACAAAAUAACGAAGUUCAUAUGCAAUUCAACGCAAAAAGUAAUUCAUUUACCUAAACCUAAAAUUCUAAACCUAUGACUACUACCUAUGGCCUUAAACUAUUGCCUUAGAUCUUUGGCGUGAAAGACGCCCAAAGAUUUACCCUGAAGAUCCUCCACUUCGUAUAGAGAAUUCCCUACAGGCCGCACAAUUCUACACUUGAAGAACUUUUUAUCGAGUUUCGCGUUAUAGUCCUUAGAAAAGCUACUUUGCCGAAAACUACGGCGAAACACUUCCUGUCCGGGCAAGAAUUUAACUUGUCGGCAACGAAGAUUGUAGGAUUUUUCUCCCCUAAGGUAAGCUUUAUGCAGAUUAGCUCUGAUCAGCUCUCUGGUCUGCUCCAUAUUCUCCGAGUUAGGAAUAAGGUCGAUAUCUGGGUCGUUUAGUAGUUGAAGCUUACGCGCGAUCUUGUAAACGCUGCCGUGAUUUAUCAUGUUAACGCCGAACAAAGCGUAGUAAGGCGUCACGUUUAUUGCACUAUGCACCGACGAGCGCAGCGAACAUUCCACCUCCGAAAGGUGCUUAUCCCAUUCGCGGUGGUCUUCCUUGAGGUACGCCCUUAUCGCGGCCAGUACGGACUGGUUAACGCGCUCCGACGCGUUGGCCUGUGGCGAAUGGGUAGCGGUCUUCAUAUGGUUAACACCGAAAUUUUUAACCAAGUCCUGGAAUUCCUUACUAAUGAACUGUUUGCCAUUGUCGGAGACAAUGACUUCUGGAGUGCCAAACUUGUGGAAAACCUCUGAAAUCAGAAACUUUACCACAUUCUUGGCACUCGCCUUAGCCAUUGCCUUCAACAGCACGUAUUUAGACAAAUGGUCUAAAACAAUAAAAAUAAAGGAAUUCCCGGACUUGGAACGCGGAUAGGGACCGAGGAAGUCAACGUAAAUGCGUUGAAAUGGACGCUCCACUUCAAAUUCUUUGCCCAUGGGUGGACGUAAAGUUGUGGUUGCCGGCUUCGUCUCUUUGCAAACCUGGCAUUGUUUCACAAAACUUCGCACCUGCACAGCCAUGUUUGGCCAGUAAAAGUACUCUUUUACACGGUGCAAAGUUUUGCGAAACCCGCCAUGAGCCGAUGUAGGUGGGCAAUGAGCCCUUUCAAUGACUUGUUCAGUCAGCUCGGCCGGCAUCCACAACUUCCAUGCGAAAUCCUCACGCAAUGGGUCGCCAUCCUAAUGUCGCGUUCUUUUGUAGGCGACACCAUCGAUAACCCGAAAGUCGGGUAAACUUGCCGCGUUCUCUUCGAUACUCCGGGUAAGCUCUUGAUAGGCGUCAGACCUAAAGGCUGGCGAGGAGAGAUCCAACAACUGUCCUAAGUCCGCAGAAAGUUCGUCCAUAUCGUACCUAGACAAGGUAUCCGGAACAAUGUUCUGGGUACCCUGCCUAUGUUUGAUAUCGAACGUAAAGGACUGAAGAUGGAGGCUCCACCUCGCCAGUCUUCCGCUUAAAUCCCUAUGGGACAUCAACCAUUUGAGGCUGCUAUGGUCAGUGAUUAUGGUGAAAGCCAUUAAUUCAAUAUAAGGCCUGAAUUUUUUUAUUGCCAUAACCACAGCCAAGCACUCUCUCUCCGUCACUGAAUAAUUCCUUUGAGCGGACGUUAAUUUCUGUGAAAAAUAUGCAAUGGGAUGCUCUCCGCCCUCAUCAUCCUUCUGAAAAAGGACUGCUCCUAUUCCCCGGUCGGAGGCAUCACAUUGCACAUAGAAAUGUCUCUCAAAGCUCGGGUGAGAGAGUACUGGGCUUGUAAUCAGGGCCUGUUUCAACUGAUCAAAAGCAGCCUUCGCCUGGUCGGUAAAAACAAAAGCCUUACCCUUUUUAAGAGUAUCGAAGAUCGGGGUAGCUAUCGUCGCGUACUCGGGAAUAAACCGCCUAUACCAGCCGGUGGCGCCCAUAAAACUUCGCACUUGCUUGGCCGUCUUUGGGUAGUCAAAUCGCGCUAUAGUUUCAAUCUUUGCUGGAUCCGCCUUGAGAGUACCUCCACCAACAAUAUAGCCUAAGUAUCGGAGCUCUUUGAAGCAAAAUUUUGAUUUUGCCACAUUGAUCGUGAGCCCCGCAUUGGCUAACAAUUCAGCCACACGGUUCAGCAACUCCAGGUGAGUGUCAAAAUCUGGCGAAACCACCAAGAGGUCAUCCAAGUAAACAAAAACACGGUCUCUUAACCGGCAUAACCUCUGGGCUGCAUUACACAACCCAAAAGGCAUGACGGUAAAAUGAUAAAGAGGCCUCCCCGGCACCGUAAAGGCUGUUUUCUCCUUACUGGAUUCGUCGAGGGGUAUCUGCCAGAAAGCAUCCUUUAGGUCGACACUGGAUAUAAAAUAGGUGUCACCAAGCCGGCUGAGUAGACCUUCAAUAUGCGGAAGAGGAUAAGCGUCCUUGACGGUGAGAGCAUUAAGUUUGCGAGCAUCAACACAUAGUCUAUUUUUCUCGCCUUUGCGGACAAGUGUCACUGGAUGGCUCCAGGGACUUUCGCUUUGCUCUAUCACACCCAAGGAUAACAUCCUAUCCAACUCCGCAUACAUUAAUUUCUGCACAGCUGGUGACACCGGAUAGUGCUUACUUUUAACUGGAGUUGCAUCACGUGUGUCGAUUGUGUGUAUCUCAGACUGUGUCCGUCCCAAGCCUUUUUUAGUAAAGCAGGGGAACUUUUCUAUGACAUCCUCCAAGCGUUUCCGCUGGAAGUCUGACAACAGAUGGACUUUCUUGUCAUCAUUGAUACCGCCGUCAGCUUCUUCACAAAGUCUGAUAUUGUUGGUGGUGAUGCUCUCAAUUUGGGCAAAAAGCUGGAACUUGCGCAUAAAAUCUAUGCCAAGAAAAAGCGACCUUCCCAAAGACGGCACCAAAAAGAAGGUUAUUUCAUGCGACAUUUUUAUUAAAAGUAACCGUGGCCGUGACGCGACCUACUAUUUUAUGAGGGCUUUCAUCCGCGGUAUGUAUAUAUGAGUGGAAGGGAUGUACCACUAGAUUCGCACGGCCGACGAAGUCGACGCAACCUUUUCCCAGACAGGAUACCGUGGCACCGCUGUCGAGCAGACCCUCUAUUUCUUGACCAUUAAUAACUAACCGUGUAUAAAAGCGAGUGUCGUCACCCUCGUAGAGCGAUGCGGCCGCAAUUUGUCGCCGUAGAGCUUUCCUCUUUUUGUAACGCUCGCGCGCUUUCUUUACCUUUUUGGAGAUCCCAAAAAUCCUCACCUUUGCCUCGUUAUACUCUUGUACCCGGACAUGUAAAGGCUUCAAUUCUCUAAGCUUUGGGACAAGUGUAGAACUAUGCUCAUGUUGUUGGGGAUUCCUAAGAAGGGUGAUCUUUCUAUCAGGGGAUGGGACUGGAGUUAAACUGGUGUCGACCGCACCUCUCCAGUCUGAGGUGGGAUCCUCUGUCGGUUUCCCUGACAUUUCGGGCAGUUUCUGACGGUUACUCCAUCAUGACCACACCUGUAGCAAAAGAAUUUUCUAGGCGCGGCACAAUCCACCCAGCUAUGCCCUUCCAAACCACAAUUCCAGCAUUUCAGAUUUGUUUUGCCUUGAAUUGCAUCCACUUCCAUGGCCUCCGAAGGCAACUCUUCCUCCCAGGCUAAUUCGUGAACGCGCUGCGACCCUAGAUUAGGGCGUUGAUACUGUUGACGGUGGCUUGCAAGAAGAUUUUCUGCCCUUUUGACUUCUCUGUAGAAGCUCCCCAAGUCGUUAACUCUCACUGAGAAUAUCAUCUGUGCCAAUGAUGUUUUCAGGUUGCCCCUCAUAAUUUCCACCAUCUCCGCCUCUCGAUAGGGUUGCUUCUGCUGGUUUCGCAACUGAAUCACCGCAUUAUAAAAAUCUUCAAAUGUUUCUUGUGGCUGCUGGCGACGAUUGAGAAUUUGUGUUUGAAUCUGGAAUUCGUUUUCAAACCGCUGGUAUUGCGUCAGCAGAGCCCUCUCAAUUUCUUCCCAAGAUCGAAAUUGGACAAACUUGCGGUGGUUCCAGUACCAGUCUAGCGCUGGUUUCUCCAAGAGCUGGUGAAACUUAGUUAGGAAUUCGCCUUCCGGGCAAUCAUAAUCUCUUUUAAGCUCUCCUACUCGAAAGAUAAACUCCUGCACGUUCAUGGUUUUGGAGGUGCCAUCAAAUUUUAUACCCCACUUGGUCAAAUUUAGCUUGCUGGUCGAAUCAGUGUGUGUGCUGCCUCCAGGCCUUCCAAAAUGUGAAGAAGGACCUGGAAAAUGCGCCGGUUGCAACGGCGGCUGCAAAUAUGGUGGUGGCUCACUUGUGUUAGGCUGCUGUGGCCUCUCAUUCAAUGGCGUGUAAUAGUUUGGCUGGGCUGAACCCCAGGAAUUGCGGUACACCGAUGGCACGCUGAGACCGCCGGCCUCCGAAACUGGUGGUGCUGGCAUAGAUGAGUGUGGGACAGUGCUGGUGCUUGGUACAAAAGGCGGUGGUUGUGAGUAUACGGCCCCAGCCUGUUGAUAUGACGAGACUGGUGGAGCUACUGGCGCCUGCAUAUGUGACAAACCUCUAGGCGGAUGCGUUUGCCCCAAAGACAUAUGCUGUCCCUGGCCUAGUAGUGGUCUUCCAGGCUGUCCUGUUGCCAGCUUAGCCAU